rnacentral:rRNA from 1 species
GAUGAACGCUGGCGGCGUGCCUAAUACAUGCAAGUCGAGCGAACAGACGAGGAGCUUGCUCCUCUGACGUUAGCGGCGGACGGGUGAGUAACACGUGGAUAACCUACCUAUAAGACUGGGAUAACUUCGGGAAACCGGAGCUAAUACCGGAUAAUAUAUUGAACCGCAUGGUUCAAUAGUGAAAGACGGUUUUGCUGUCACUUAUAGAUGGAUCCGCGCCGCAUUAGCUAGUUGGUAAGGUAACGGCUUACCAAGGCAACGAUGCGUAGCCGACCUGAGAGGGUGAUCGGCCACACUGGAACUGAGACACGGUCCAGACUCCUACGGGAGGCAGCAGUAGGGAAUGUUCCGCAAUGGGCGAAAGCUUGACGGAGCAACGCCGCGUGAGUGAUGAAGGUCUUCGGAUCGUAAAACUCUGUUAUUAGGGAAGAACAAAUGUGUAAGUAACUAUGCACGUCUUGACGGUACCUAAUCAGAAAGCCACGGCUAACUACGUG